GAUUCCAUACUGACUAUCCUCCGUCUUAAUCCUGGUUUUCUUCAACCAGUGCAUAAUACUGUUGAUUAGAUUUAAACUUUCAUCGGUACGAUCUCAUUCCUAGUACUUUGCUUUAAGAUUAUACCCAAGUCUCCAAGAUUACCUUCUUCCUAAAACAUGAGAUCGCAACGAACGAAAUAAACCAGAACAUCGUUCUUCAAGCCAAGGACCCUUGUCAUCCAUUAGAGCGGUAAUCAAGAGAUCUUCUCGGACUUCUAUUCAGAGUGAACUUCAUCGAGAUAGAAGGCGCCCAGAGAUCACCAUUGUGGCAGCUGAGCCACUGAGGCCAGCCUCGUGGUUUCCAGGAACCCCACCCCCAGGACUGGGAUUUCCUACAUCAUCUGCAGCAGGCUCUUGGAGGCCUAAUGAGCUGGUUCCUGCUGAGCUCCCACCAUCCUAUGAACAAGUUAUAAAAGAAAUCAACCAAGUUCAAGUUAAUACUACAAAUAAUAAUAAUGCUGCUGCUACUCCAAGGCACACUAUUACUUCUGCAACUCAGACUGACUUUUCAGAAGA
rnacentral:sRNA from 1 species